AGAGUUUGAUCCUGGCUCAGAUUGAACGCUGGCGGCGUGCCUAACACAUGCAAGUCGAGCGGUAACAGGUGUAGCAAUACAUGCUGACGAGCGGCGAACGGGUGAGUAAUGCUUUGGAAUCUUCCCAGUAGUGGGGAAUAACCAGUCGAAAGAUUGGCUAAUACCGCAUACGUCUGUAAAGGGAAAGCGGGGGCUCGUAAGACCUCGCGCUAUUGGAUGAGCCAAAGUCGGAUUAGCUAGUUGGUGGGGUAAUGGCCUACCAAGGCGACAAUCCGUAGCUGGUCUGAGAGGACGACCAGCCACACCGGAACUGAGACACGGUCCGGACUCCUACGGGAGGCAGCAGUGGGGAAUAUUGGACAAUGGGGGAAACCCUGAUCCAGCGACGCCGCGUGUGUGAAGAAGGCCUGCGGGUUGUACAGCACUUUUAGUGGGGACAAA
rnacentral:rRNA from 1 species